AUGUCCCCAAAUGUCCCCAAACCACCCCCGUUCCCCAAAUGUUUCCAAAUGUCCCCAAAUGUCCCCAAAUAUCCUCAAAUGUCCCCAAAUGUCCCCAAAUGCCCCCAAAUAUCCCCAUUAUCCCCAAAUGUCCCCAUUGUCCCCCAGCCACCCCCAUUCCCCAAAUGUCCCCAAAUGUUCCCAAAUGUCCCCANNNNNNNNNNAUUGUCCCCAAACCUCCCCCAUUCCCCAAAUAUCCCCAAAUGUCCCCAAAUAUCCCCAAAUGUCCCCAAAUGUUCCCAAAUGUCCCCAUUGUCCCCAGUUGUCCCCAUUGUCCCCAACCACCCCCAUUCCCUAAAUGUCCCCAAAUAUCCCAAAUACCCUCAAAUGUCCCCAUUGUCCUCAAUUGUCCCCAACCACCCCCAUUGUCCCCAAAUGUCCCCAUUGUCCNNNNNNNNNNCGAACCCAACCCCAACCCCAACCCCUCAUCUUCACGCCCUCCUCCAACCAAGGGACCUCUCCGCCCACGCGGGGAGGACCCAGGAGCUGCCCUUCCCCUUCCAACCCUACAAAGAUGCUCUUCCAACCCUACAGAAAUACCCUUCCCCUUCCAACCCUAUAGAGCUGCCCUUCCCCACCCAACCCUAUAAAGAUGCCCUUCCAAUCCUACAGAAAUACCCUUCCCCACCCAACUCUAGAGAUAUCCUCCUCAACCCAACCCUACAGAGAUGCCCUUCCCCUUCCAACCCUACAGAGAUGCCCUUCCCCACCCAACCCUACAGAGAUGCCCUUCCCCACCCAACCCUACAGAGAUGUCCUCCCCAAUCCAACCCUAUAGAGAUGCCCUUCCAACCCUACGGAGUUGCCCUUCCCCACCCUGCAGAAAUACCCUUCCCCUUCCAAUCCUAUAGAGCUGUCCUCCCCCAUCCAACCCUAUGGAGAUGCCCUUCCACCCCUACAGAAAUAUCCUUCCCCUUCCAACCCUAUAGAGCUGCCCUUCCAACCCUACAAAGAUGCCCUUCCCCACCCAACCCUAGAGAUGUCCUCAACCCAACCCUACAGAGAUGCCCUUCCAACCCUACGGAGUUGCCCUUCCCCACCCUACAGAAAUACCCUUCCCCUUCCAAUCCUAUAGAGUUGUCCUCUCCCAUCCAACCCUACAGAGAUGCCCUUCCCCUUCCAAUCCUAUGGAAAUGUCCUCCCCAAUCCAACCCUACAAAGAUGCCCUUCCCCAUCCAACCCUACAGAGAUGUCCUUCUCAACCCAACCCUAAAGAGAUGCCCUUCCCCAUCCAACCCUACAAAAAUACCCUUCCCCACCCAACCCUACAGAGAUGCCCUUCCCCUUCCAAUCCUAUGGAAAUGUCCUCCCCAAUCCAACCCUACAAAGAUGCCCUUCCCCACCCAACCCUAG
rnacentral:lncRNA from 1 species